rnacentral:tRNA from 1 species
CUCGAAAUAGCUCAGUUGAAAGAACGUUAGACUAUAAAUCGGAACAUCCCUAGUUCGAUCCCGGGAUUCGGCA